rnacentral:rRNA from 1 species
CCUACGGGUGGCAGCAGUGAGGAAUAUUGGUCAAUGGUCGGGAGACUGAACCAGCCAAGCCGCGUGAGGGAGGAAGGUACAGCGUAUCGUAAACCUCUUUUGUAAGGGAAUAAAGGCGGGGACGUGUCCCCGGAUGAGUGUACCUGAAGAAUAAGCAUCGGCUAACUCCGUGCCAGCAGCCGCGGUAAUACGGAGGAUGCGAGCGUUAUCCGGAUUUAUUGGGUUUAAAGGGUGCGGAGGCGGUCUGUUAAGUCAGCGGUGAAAGUCCGGGGCUCAACCCCGGACGCGCCUUUGAGACUGGCAGGCUCGAGUAGGAUAGAGGUAGGCGGAAUGCGCGGUGUAGCGGUGAAAUGCUUAGAUAUCACGCAGAACUCCGAUUGCGAAGGCAACAUGCCGGCCCCACACUGACGCUGAUGCACGAAAGCGUGGGUAUCGAACAGGAUUAGAUACCCCUGUAGUC